GACGGCACCGUCCCAAAAACUAAAUGCUCAGUUUCCACUUGUUACUUGUUGUUACGUUACCAACAACAACGACGACGACACGGCAUCACUGCUGCAUCGAUCUGCAUAUGCAACCCACAAAGAAAAGAAAAGAAGCCAUCUUGUUCUCGUACGCAUCGAUCCCCACCACUCGCUCUCGAUCGCAUCAAGAAACGCCUAUCUACAGCUAGACAACACUCGUGUUCUCCGUUCAACUUAGUAACCUCUCUGUACAUAGAGAUAAGACCAGACAAAUCCAUCAGCUAGUCACUCGAUCGGGGCCCCGCCAUGGAGCAAUGGGCGUACUACCAUUGCCUCUUCCUGGCUCUCCUCCUCCCUCUCCUGCUGCUCAAGCUCAACAGCAAGCGUGGCGGCGUGCGUCUGCCACCCGGUCCGUGGCGGCUGCCGGUCAUCGGCAGCCUGCAGCACCUCGCCGGCAACCCGCUCGUGCACCGCGUCAUGGCCGACCUCGCGCGCCGGCUGGACGCGCCGCUCAUGUACCUCAAGCUCGGCGAGGUGCCCGUGGUGGUGGCCACGUCCCCGGAGGCCGCCCGCGAGAUCAUGCGGACGCACGACGUCGUCUUCGCGACGCGGCCGUGGAGCCCCACCGUCAAGAUCAUGAACGCCGAGGGGCAAGGCCUGAUAUUCGCGCGCUACGGUGCGUUGUGGCGCCAGCUCCGCAAGAUCUGCAUCCUGGAGCUGCUCAGCGCGCGCCGCGUGCAGUCGUUCCGCCAUAUCAGAGAGGACGAGGUCGGACGCCUCCUGGCCGCUGUUGCCGCGGUGCCGCCCGGGGAGCCCGUGAACGUGAGCGAGCGGAUCGCCGUGCUCAUCACCGACUCGGCGGUGCGCGCCAUGAUUGGGGACAGGUUUAAGAGGCGGGAGGAGUUCUUGCAGACUCUCGACGAAGGGGUCAAGCUCGUCGCCGGGUUCAACCUCGGCGACCUCUUCCCGUCGUCGCGCCUCGCCAGCUUCAUCAGCGGCACGGCGCGGCUGGCCGAGGAGAACCACCGCAAGAGCUUCGAGCUCAUGGAGUACGCGAUCCAGCAGCACGAGCAGCAGAGGGCCGCCGCCUCAGCGAACGAUGACGGAGGAGAGGACCUAGUGGACACGCUCUUGAGGAUACGCAAGGAAGGUGGCCUCGACGUGCCUCUUACCAUGGGCAUGAUCAAAGCAGUUAUACUGGAUCUAUUUGGUGCCGGGAGUGAGACUUCAGCUACCACACUUCAGUGGGCCAUGUCGGAGCUCAUGAGGUACCCAAACGUGAUGCGGAAAGCACAAGCUGAAGUACGCAAAAACCUCCAAGGAAAACAUAAGGUGACUGAGGAUGACUUGGCCAAUCUCAAGUACCUUAGACUCGUCAUCAAGGAGACAAUGAGGUUGCAUCCAGCCGCGCCAUUGCUUCUCCCUAGAGAGGCCAUGGAGCCUUGCAAAAUUCUCGGGUACGACAUACCCAAGGGCACCACGGUGUUGGUGAAUGCAUGGGCGAUCGGCAGGGAUCCUAAGCAUUGGGAGGAUCCUGAGGAGUUCAAGCCGGAGAGAUUCAAGUCCGGAAUGGUCGACUUCAAAGGCACAAACUUCGAGUACAUACCGUUCGGGGCAGGCAGGAGAAUGUGCCCUGGAAUGACAUUUGCGCAGGCCAGCAUGGAGAUUGUGCUCGCCUCACUUCUCUACCACUUUGACUGGGAGCUCCCAAAUGGGGUUAAGCCAGAUGGGCUAGACAUGACCGAGGAGAUGGGUCUCACCGUCCGGCGAAAGAACGACUUGUAUCUGCACGCCGUGGUCCAUGUACCCCUGAUUUGAUUUACACUUGCAUUGGUAUGUCAUAUGUGACUGAAUUCUCGCAUAUUUGUGCCUUCUAUGUGCCUUGGUCAACUGUGUGACUGCUAGACUGCCUUGUCAGGUGACUGCCAGAGAUACGUUGUCGAUUAAUUUGGGGUCCUCAAACUUCUCUGAUCCUCAUACUUGGAUGUUCAUCUUAGAACACCGAUCAGUGAAUUAAUUUUAUGUUAUGUACUGAGAUCUUGACCAUCUGUUUACCAGAUUUGAUUACCCAAGCUAUUCAUCCGAACAUGAUUUUAGAGCCGAAAAAAUUAUAUUGGG
rnacentral:rRNA from 1 species